rnacentral:rRNA from 1 species
GAACGGCUCAUUAAAACAGCUAUAAUCUACUCGUUCUUGAUUUCCUAAACGGAUAACUGCGAUAAUUUUGGAGCUAAUACGUGCACCAAAGCCUUCUCCUCACGGAUGGGCGCACUUAUUAGAACAAGACCAAUCGGUGCAAGCCGUUUUGGUGACUCUGAAUAAUUUCGCUGAUCGCAUGGUCUAGUACCGGCGACGUAACGUUCGAGUAUCUGCCUUAUCAACUGUCGAUGGAAGUCUAUGUGGCUACCAUGGUUGUAACGGGUAACGGAGAAUAAGGGUUCGACUCCGGAGAGGGAGCCUGAGAAACGGCUACCACAUCCAAGGAAGGCAGCAGGCGCGUAAAUUACCCACUCUCAAUGCGAGGAGGUAGUGACUAUCAAUAACGAGACAGAUCUCUUUGAGGCCUGUUAUCGGAAUGGGUACAAUUUAAACCC